AUUCCAGCUCCAAUAGCGUAUAUUUAAGUUGUUGCGGUUAAAAAGCUCGUAGUUGGAUUUCGGGCGUGGAGGCUCGGUCCGCCGUUUCGGUGUGCACUGUCUUUCUGCGUCUUUCUGUCGGGGACGCGCUUCUGGCCUUAAUUGGCUGGGACGUGGAUUCGACGAGGUUACUUUGAGAAAAUUAGAGUGUUCAAAGCAAGCUAAAGCUCUGAAUACAUUAGCAUGGAAUAACGCGAGAGGACUCGGUCCUUAUUUUGUUGGUCUUCAAGGAUGGAGUAAUGAUUAAGAGGGACAGUUGGGGGCAUUCGUAUUUCAUUGCUAGAGGUGAAAUUCUUGGAUUUAUGAAAGACGAACUUCUGCGAAAGCAUUUGCCAAGGAUGUUUUCAUCA
rnacentral:rRNA from 1 species